ACGCUGGCGGCAUGCUUUACACAUGCAGGUCGGACGGCAACACAGAGAAGCUUGCUUCUUGGGUGGCGAGUGGCGAACGGGUGAGUAACAUAUCGGAACGUACCGAGUAAUGGGGGAUAACUAAUCGAAAGAUUAGCUAAUACCGCAUAUUCUCUGAGGAGGAAAGCAGGGGACCUUCGGGCCUUGCGUUAUUCGAGCGGCCGAUAUCUGAUUAGCUAGUUGGUGGGGUAAAGGCCUACCAAGGCGACGAUCAGUUGCGGGUCUGAGAGGAUGAUCCGCCACACUGGGACUGAGACACGGCCCAGACUCCUACGGGAGGCAGCAGUGGGGAAUUUUGGACAAUGGGCGCAAGCCUGAUCCAGCCAUGCCGCGUGUCUGAAGAAGGCCUUCGGGUUGUAAAGGACUUUUGUCAGGGAAGAAAAGGCUGUUGCUAAUACCGACAGUUGAUGACGGUACCUGAAGAAUAAGCACCGGCUAACUACGUGCCAGCAGCCGCGGUAAUACGUAGGGUGCGAGCGUUAAUCGGAAUUACUGGGCGUAAAGCGAGCGCAGACGGUUACUUAAGCAGGAUGUGAAAUCCCCGGGCUCAACCUGGGAACUGCGUUCUGAACUGGGUGACUAGAGUGUGUCAGAGGGAGGUAGAAUCCCACGUGUAGCAGUGAAAUGCGUAGAGAUGUGGAGGAAUACCGAUGGCGAAGGCAGCCUCCUGGGAUAACACUGACGUUCAUGCUCGAAAGCGUGGGUAGCAAACAGGAUUAGAUACCCUGGUAGUCCACGCCCUAAACGAUGUCAAUUAGCUGUUGGGCAACUUGAUUGCUUAGUAGCGUAGCUAACGCGUGAAAUUGACCGCCUGGGGAGUACGGUCGCAAGAUUAAAACUCAAAGGAAUUGACGGGGACCCGCACAAGC
rnacentral:rRNA from 1 species